GUGGUUGUGCAUGAGGCAGAAAGCCAGAAGAAAGCAAAAGGAGCAGUGGUGAUAUUAGCCAUGGGUGGAAGCUUCUUUUGGGUACUUGCUGGAAAUACAGAAAUGGAUUUCAGAAGCCAUGGAUCCUGGUGAAAUGGUAUCAGAUAGAAGCAAUGUAUCACAUCAGAUAAUGCAACACCUAAUACAAUCCAAAUCAUGAGUAUAAGGAAUGAGAACACAAAGAGACUUAGUUGUUCUGGCACCUAUGCACCAAUGGUGCUCAGGCCAUAACAGUGAACUGGCAGAUCUCCACUAGAAAAACAAACAAACACAAGCAAAACCUAAUGGCAACAAGUAGCCAGGAUGCAAUGAUGUGGCUGAAGUAUAAUAUACACAGAUAGGACUGGAAAAACCUGGGGGAAUUUAAAGGAAACGUUCUAAAGUGUUAUGGUCCUGGCUCCAGAUUUGUAUGACCCUUCAGCCGAUCAC